GCCUCCGUGGCGCAAUCGGCUAGCGCGUUCGGCUGUUAACCGAAAGGUUGUAGGUUCGAGCCCUCCCGAGGGCG
rnacentral:tRNA from 1 species